GAUGAACGCUGGCGGCGUGCCUAAUACAUGCAAGUCGAGCGAACAGACGAGGAGCUUGCUCCUCUGACGUUAGCGGCGGACGGGUGAGUAACACGUGGAUAACCUACCUAUAAGACUGGGAUAACUUCAGGAAACCGGAGCUAAUACCGGAUAAUAUAUUGAACCGCAUGGUUCAAUAGUGAAAGACGGUUUUGCUGUCACUUAUAGAUGGAUCCGCGCCGCAUUAGCUAGUUGGUAAGGUAACGGCUUACCAAGGCAACGAUGCGUAGCCGACCUGAGAGGGUGAUCGGCCACACUGGAACUGAGACACGGUCCAGACUCCUACGGGAGGCAGCAGUAGGGAAUCUUCCGCAAUGGGCGAAAGCCUGACGGAGCAACGCCGCGUGAGUGAUGAAGGUCUUCGGAUCGUAAAACUCUGUUAUUAGGGAAGAACAAAUGUGUAAGUAACUAUGCACGUCUUGACGGUACCUAAUCAGAAAGCCAUGGCUAACUACGUG
rnacentral:rRNA from 1 species